ACGGGUGAGUAACACGUAAAGAACCUGCCUCAUAGACUGGGACAACUAUUGGAAACGAUAGCUAAUACCGGAUAACAGCAUUAACUGCAUGGUUGAUGUUUGAAAGUUGGUUAUGCUAACACUAUGAGAUGGCUUUGCGGUGCAUUAGCUAGUUGGUGGGGCAAAGGCCCACCAAGGCGACGAUGCAUAGCCGACCUGAGAGGGUGAUCGGCCACACUGGGACUGAGACACGGCCCAGACUCCUACGGGAGGCAGCAGUAGGGAAUCUUCCGCAAUGGGCGAAAGCCUGACGGAGCAACGCCGCGUGAGUGAAGAAGGAUUUCGGUUCGUAAAGCUCUGUUGUUAGGGAAGAAUGGAUAUGUAGUAACUAUACAUGUAAGAGACGGUACCUAACCAGAAAGCCACGGCUAACUACGUGCCAGCAGCCGCGGUAAUACGUAGGUGGCAAGCGUUGUCCGGAAUUAUUGGGCGUAAAGCGCGCGCAGGUGGUUUAAUAAGUCUGAUGUGAAAGCCCACGGCUCAACCGUGGAGGGUCAUUGGAAACUGUUAAACUUGAGUGCAGGAGAGAAAAGUGGAA
rnacentral:rRNA from 1 species